rnacentral:lncRNA from 1 species
CUAUUUUCAUUCUUGCAGCUAACCACUUCCCUGCUUCCUGCCUUUACCCCACCACACCCAAUAAAGUUGUUUAGCUGAACUGUUAUCGUUAUACUUUCUUAAUUAGAUAUUUUCCCUGGGAACAUUAAAUUUGGCAGAAGCCACCAAAGAAUGAGUAUUUUUAAAUAUGUGUAGUAAUAAGAGGAAUUAUGGCUAUUACCUAGAAUGAAAUUCUCAAACUUUUUAGUCUCAAUACCUCUUUACAGUCUUAAAAAUUAUUUUGGACUCUAGUAUGAACUUUCAUUUAUAUGCUAGAUCUAUUGAUAUUUACUGAAAUUAAAAUUAAACUGUUAAAACAGAUGCAUAUGUAAGCAUGCAUUCAUUUGUUGUCAGAGCAGUAGCAUCAUCACAUGCCUUGUAGCCUCUGGAAAAAUCUACUGCACAGUCAUGAGAAAAUGUGAGCAAUGCAGGCACAACUUGUCUUAGUGUUACUAGGAAAGCAUUUAGGCCCCCCACACCUUCCUCAGGGUUCUCAGCAACCCCAGGAAGUGCCCAGAUCACACUUUGAGAACUACUGAUCUAGAGUAAUUGCUAAGAAGUAGAAUUACUACAUGAGCUAGUAAUUGGCUCUUAACAAGUCUCUAGUAAAUGUAUAUUUGAAGGGAUUGGAUGAACUACCAGUUGUGACAUGAGAUUCAGUAAAAGUACAGCAAAAGCUCUAGAGAAUAAUAUUAAGUAUGUUUGUAUAUUACUUAUGAUUAUAUAUACUAAUUAUAUUAACAUUUUAUAGCAUUUAUGUCAUUCAUGUUAUAUAUAUUAAUCUAUGUAAUAUUAAGUGUAAUAAUAUGAACAUUCUAUUUCAUCUGGUAGGAUUUUAUAAAUAGAUAUUCAGAGAUCCUCUGAAUCUCCAGCUGUGACAUCUAGAACAGAGUAAUAGUGCACUCCCAGCAAAGGUUUCCGGUGUAGCUGGUAUUCCUUACAUGGUUGCAUGAGCACCAAACUACAUACAAAGCUCCAAACCAGCCUGUUGUCUCUAGGACAGAUAAAAAAUUAAGGGAGUGAAGCAAGCAAAUAGGAAACAAUCUGAUGAUUAUUUUAAGCCUAAUAAUCAGUCUUUGGCUGAGCACUAAAAACUGUUUAUUUUCUUUGAUAAAGGCAAAAAAAAAAAACCCUCUUAAAUCCAUUUUGCUUUAAAGUUAUGAACUGAAAGAAUAGGUAAAUUUGCUCUAAGAUAUGUAGAAUCUGUGUAAUGUAGGAUAAGUUUCUGCAGUUUUUAGUAACAUUAAGUGUAUCUGCCAGUGUUGGGGAAUUGUGAUUCAUUUAUUUGUUAUAUCAUCAGUCAAAGCAAGCAUGAAGCUCUUUCCCAAUUGUGGAAGACCCCACACGGCUUUUUUAGGCAGCUGCCUCUCUAUUUUAUUUUUUUGGAUAGCUGAAGUAGUAGCUCUGCUAAGCUUUACCAUAGCUUCAGUCAGGCAGAUACAAGUAGCUUCUCCUCAGCGCUUUCUUUCUUGUGAUUGAUGUUACAGCAGGUGAUAUUCCAGUCUUGAUAAAGUUUAUUUUACUUUAUCGGUUACCCUUUCAUUUGUUUUGUAAAGACACUAUCAUCAAAUGAUAUAAAGUUGAACGUCCUGCUUGUUAAAUCUUUCCUGUUAACCAGACCCCUUAGUUUUGAGCUGGUGGAGUACAUAUUUAAAAAGAAUUCAAAAUUCAUUCCAGGAUUCUAUGGGGACAUUCUUUCUGCACUGUAGCAAUUCAUAAUGGUCCUGCUUUCUGGGGAGAAAUGGUUAGAAUAUUAGAAACUAGCUACUAGGGUACUUCUUUUUUCCUGAAAAUCGUAGUCACUGCUAAAAAUUCAGUUUAGUUGUUUAGUAUAUAUUUUCUGACAGAUUUUUUUCAGUUUUAUUUAAUUUUGUACAUUUAAAAAGUGGCAUUGCCUUUCUUUAAAUGCUGAGGACAGUAUAUUAGAGCAUUUUAGUAGGUCAUUAACUCAUAUUAAAAAGCUUAAACCGCAAGGGGGAGGUUUUUAAUGUUAUUUUUUAAUAUUAACACUUACUGAAUUUGAGUCGUUUCAACAGAAGAUAUAGUGUCAAGAUGAUAAUACCGCUUUUUCUGUCCUUAAAGGAAAAGCUGCUUAUUCUUCUUCCCUAUACUCCUUACACUCAGUACUUCUGUGUUUUGUGUUUCCCCCACACCAAACAGUUCUUUGACAGCAACUGAUCUCCUACGAUUCAAUUCAACUCUGACAGUUAUUUAUCUGUAUUUAAUGUCAGAUCUCACGGGUUAAGGGUUCAGUCACAUAAGACUGCCUCCCUCACAAAACUUCUGAUGCUAAUCACAAAUCCAGGUUGUUACAUGGGCCUCUGACCAGCUGGCUAUAAAUCAGAGGUUUCCCUGACCCUCUCCUUGGGUUUGGUGAUUUGCUAGAGUGGCUCAGAGAACUCAGAAAAAAAGUUCACCUACUAGACUACUGGCUUAUUAUAAAGGGCUAUUGCCCAGGAACAGCUAGAAAUAAGAGAUGAUAGGGCAAGGUAUGUGUAAGGGCAUCGUGCUGCCAUGCCCUCUGCAGGUACACCACCCUCCCAGCACACCCUCCAUGCCCUCUCCAGCUGUGACACCCUCCCAUCAUGCCUUCCUGCCCUCUCCAGCUGUGACACCAUUCCAGCAUACCUUCCAUGCCCUCUCCAGGUACACCACCCUCCCAGCACAUUCAACCCAGGAAGCUUUUCAAACCUUGUACUUCAGGGAUUUUUAUGGAGUCUUCAUUAUGUAGGCACCAUUGAUUAAAUCAUUUGCCCUUGAAGAUUGAUUGAGGUGAGGGACUCUCUAAUCAUUGUGGUUGGAUGUGGUUGGUUUCCCCCUAGCCACCAGCCCACAUCUAGUGGUUAGCUAGGGACUUUCCAAAACUCACUCAUUCAAGUAAACUCUCUUGUGUUUGAAAGGGGCUUGUUAUAAAUAACAACAGGCAAUUCUUUCACCUUCAUGAAAUUAAGGAAAUUCCAAAAGUUUUAGGGGCUCUGUACCAGGAAUAGGGACGAAGCCCAAAUGUGGAUUUCUAAAUAAAAAUCGCAAUAUUAAAGUUCUAAUCCUUUUUCUUUCUUGUCCUAGAAAUUCUCUCUUUCAUUUUUUUUUUUCUUUAAUCAGUUUUAGGGGAAUGUAAGUUGUCCAGAAUCAUUAAUGAGUUUAGUGAGUUUGAAGAGGAGUUUUUAUCUUCUGUCUCGAGUGAGACAGUACCCUUAGAUUUGGGGCCUGCUAUUUUUAAUAUUGUAAAGGCAAAGGAUAGUCUUUGUGGAUUGUAAAUCUAGAAAACUAUAGCUCCUGGGAAAGAAAAAAAAAAAACUGAUUGAUAAUCUUUGUGUUUUUUUCUUUAUUCUCAAACUUAACUAAAAUACAGUUAACCCUUAGGAAAGUUGUACGGGAGAUGGAGGUCUUUUGGUGUUUGGCUUUCUUUUCCUUCCCCUUAACAGGUAGAAAGAAACAAGUUCAUUAAAAGCUACUGAACCCUUACUGUUAAGAAAAGCUCUCUUAGAAUUCUACUUUGUUCUUGGGAUCUUGUUUGCUUCAUUUUUAUAUUGCUUUAUACCUGGCUUGUUUGGCAUUCUUAGCUCUUUUAGCGUGCUCACUCCCUGAGAGUGAGCAGAGUUUACACUUCUGUGUAUGUAGGUAUCUGAGGUUCGCAAAAAGUGUAAGUACUUGAGCACCUCUCUUCAUUUCCCUAAACUUUUCUUAGUUAAAAAUGAAGAUAUGGGACUAAAAUAGUUCCAAAAUCCAUCCUAACCCUGCUAUUAUUGUAAUAGUAAAAAUCCCUAACUUUGGAUACCUUGUUAUGGGCCAGGAAUCCAAGUAGUCUCAUUUAGUGUUCAGAAACUCAGCCACUAGGUACCACCAUUUUCUCCAGUUUACAGAUAAGGCUUUGAGAAGUUGAUGUAUUUUCCCAAGAUUAUAGAACUAAUGAGCUGGUUUCCGACCAUAGUUGUCUCAUGUCGUUGCUUUUCUCCACUAUGCCUACUGCUUCCUGAAAAAAGGAAAAGUCAGGUGGCCACAUUUUUAUUGAGGGCUUGCUCUAAGCCAGGCAGUGUGCCUAGAGUUGGAUGAUGUAAAUACUACCAUCUCAGUUUUACAGGCUUAGAGGACCAAAUGCUUGAGUCUCUUUCUGGUCACGACGACUUUGAUGGCAUUAUGGGUUAGUUAGAUGGACCUAGUGUUUUAAAAAAAACAGGGCAGUGGUUCUCAGAUUAUGGUCCCAGGACCAGAAGCAUCAGCAUCACUUAGGAAUUUGUUAGAAAUGCAAAUGCUCAGGCCCCACCCCAGACCCACUGAAUUAGGAACAUGGGGAGUCGGACCCAGGAAGCUGUGUUUUAACAAGCCCUUCAGGUGAUUCUCCUGUAGACUCAAGGUUGAGAGCCACUGCACCACACAAGGAACAGGCAGGCCCUUCUCUCAGCAGUGUGGCUAAUUACAGGACAGGAGCAUGGGUAAAGGGCCAAAUCUUCAAAAUUGAGGUUUCGAUAUGUCAGUUUUACCUUUCAUUGUUGAACACAGAGCAUUUCAUAGUAAACGAAUGCCCUAAUUAUAAAACACCUGCCGCUCCUUCAAAAGAAGGUCCUCUUCAGUGUGGUGUUUAAGUGCACCUCCUUCAGAGACCUGAUUUUCAAGAGGAGGAUGUCGUGACGGAUGGGUUUAUUGAAUUUCUCUCAUUUUACAAACCCCCUCUCUUCGUGGAAAAGCUUCCGUGACCUUGGUUUCUGAACAGCCUGGGAAGCAGAGAUGAACUGCAAUCUUUUGCCCUUAAAGAAAACAGAACCAAGGAGAGAGUGUAAAGGGUAACCAGUGUAACAAGAUAGUGAAUGCUUCCGGCUUGUCUUUUUGAGGAAUGUUCGUAGUCAUCGUCAUUUAAGGACUGUACUAUUGACACAAAACCCCAAAGGAGAGAAUAGUACUUCUACCUCAAAAUCUCCCUCUCUGAACCCUGACUUCUGCUAAGGAAUGCUGAUUUCUGACAGGUUUCUUAACAGUGUCCUUGGGGUGGUGGCCCUUGCCUGGUGAUAGGAGGCAUUUAGAGUUCAGGGACCGCUGAAUGGAGUCUAGGGGGUAUUAGCAGGAGACCAGUGUGCUAGCCGGACCACACUCUGCCCUCCUUGGGAAGGACGAGCCUCCCUAAGAGCAGUGAUGGACAGAGCUUUGGCCUCAGUUUGAGGGGGUGGGGAUGCGGCAGACAACAUACUCUCCAGGCAUCUCUAGUCUUUGUCAUGGGGCAGAACUGAGAUUCCUAACUCCUUAUUCACCAUCAUGGAAAGUUUCACUUUUGUUGCAGCUAGCUUCAUUCAUUGUUUUCUUUUCUGCUUUAAAUUCCCUCCACCCCCGCUUCAAAUAAGCCCCCUAUAGUUUCAUAAUCGUUUGCCUUUUCUCUUGCUCUGAAAUAUAGCAGAAUGGAGACUUUGGGCAAAAUGGCCAGCACGCUGAUGAGAGCCAGCUGGUCUGUAGCUUCCCGAAGGUAGCUGGCUCUCCAGGCAGAUGGGAGGAGAAAAAGGCUUCACACCCCAGUAGGAACUUGCCAGAAGCAAGUGCUAGAAGAAUCACUUACACAGCUUAACAGAGGGAAUUUAUAUAUUUCUUCUUCCCCAGUUCCAAUCCUAAGAGUACUUCCGAAGCUACAGAAAUGUUAGUGGCUUUGAGCAUGUUCUUGGCCUGGUUGUCAUUUCUGGCAGUUUCGCAUGAUUUUCUUCUCACUUCCAGCAACUACCCACUCAGGGAUCAUGUCUGUCUUUAGGGAAGUCUCCCUCCAUGUCUCUUUUGCGAGCAUAAUGGUUAGUCAGAAACACCCCUGGCCUUCAGAUAAAUCCAGUUUUCCUGAAACACCACAAUCUUGAGAAUUUGAGAGCCUACGACAGUGUUAAACAGACUUGGUAGUUUCUAGUUCAUGAACUAUUAUUUGGGGGGGCGGUGGCAGGGAGCAGGAAUUGGGCAGUUUGGAAUUGGGGUAAAUUGUCAAAGUACAGAUGGGAGCAUGACUGCGUGGAGUGAAUUUUUCUCAGAAACAAAGGACUCUUCAUACUCCAGUUCACAAGUGAUCCAGAGACUUACUGUGGAAGCAGGUAUAUUAAAACCCAAGCACUGGCGUUCCCACUGUGGCUCAGCAGAUACCAAUCUGAGUAGCAUCCAUGAGGAUGUAGGUUUGAUCCCUGGCCUUGCUCAGUGGGUUAAGGAUCUGGCGUUGCUGUGAGCUGUGGUGUAGGUCACAGAUGUGGCUCGGAUUUGGUGUUGCUGUGGCUGUGGUGUAGGCCAGUGGCUACAGAUCUGAUUUGACCCCUAGCCUGUGAACCUCUAUAUGCCAGGAGUGUGGCCCUAAAAAGACAAAAAUAAAUAAAUAAAAAACAAACAACCAAGCAUUGAAAAGAACCAGCCCCUUUUUUUCUAUGACAGGGAACCACCAUUCCUCAGCCUACCUAGAAAAGUACCCUUUCCUCACUCUUUGUUUCUUCUCUGUGAACCAGGCAAUGAGAGUUCAGGUGAGUGAUGUUUCUGGCUGUAUUAGGUGCUGCUGAAGCAGUUCUGGGACCCCCUGUGGAGUGAGAUGGGACUUCCCCAGGCACCUGCAGAGGCGAGGCUAGUGGAUUAGGUAGAGGUAGAAGCACUGUGCAGGUCAGGGUAAAGACUGUGUUGUUUGUACCAGGAGUUGAACCAAUGGAGGUAUUAAUUGGAUUUCAGUUAACUGGGAAUUCAGAUGGCAAAAACACGUCCCUUAUAUUUCCAGUUAGUAUGUUUUCCCAGUCACCUGAACAUCUUAAUUGAUUUUACUAAUCAUUUUGGUUCUAAGAGAGUUUCUUGGGCUAAUUAAGAAACUGAACUAAAAUGCUUGCAUUUUGAUUUCAAGAAUUUACUUUUUCCUUAGAAGGGUGCUAACUCUGUUAAGCAUGCUUUUGAUAUGUGUGGAUGAUAAGAACAAUGGACUUAGUGGAGCGGAAAUCAUUAAGUUAAAUGCUCAGUUAAUUUCACUCUGAAUCAGUAUCAUGUUCUUACGUAGCUCAUCUGCACACAGGCUCUUUAAAAAUAGUUUUUCUGUAUUACAGAAGGAAUUAGAAAGUACAGACAACUGAAAAAGAAGAAGAAUUUCCAUCAAUGUCAUUUCCAAAUAGGCUUAUCAUGAAUACUUGUGGGGUAUAUCCUUCCCAACUUUUCUCAUGCUUUUCCUCCUCCCCCAGAAAUCUGACCUCAGCUCAUCAUUUUUUGAACCUCAUUGUGAAUGCCUUUCUGUGUCAUUUGACCCAUCUUUUCUAGCCCUCUGUUAGUGACUGUGCAGGUAUGGUUUAGAAAUGGCUUGCAAAAUCAGCUCAGGUUGUGGGAUGUUUAGAUUAUUUCUGGUUGUUCACUAAUUGAAGCAUUGCUACAAUGAAAUAUUGAAAACCUUUUACCUUUGCUUAAUUGCAGUUUUUAGAUAAGUUCCUAGAAGUGUAUUUGCUAGGUCCCAAGCUUUUUCCACAUUGCCUUCCAGGAUGGCUUCUUCUUCUAGGAUUCUGUGUUCAAUUUAGAUCACUUAAAUACAAGAUCUGUAACAGCAUUUCUCCUCUUCCAUUCUGUGUUCUACUUUUCUAUUUUGUGCAUCGUCUGGGGAAAGGGAAAAGAACUUAAAAUGAACUCCUGGGUUAGCAGGGUUUGUUUUGCACAGAACUGUGUUUAAGACAUGGUAAUACAUUCGUAUCAUUUAAAAUAAUUCUCAGUAGCUGAUUCAGUCAACAGCACUUAGAGUAGGGGUCCUCUAUACACCCUUGGUUGGUGUCCAUAAAAGCUCCAUGAAAGACAAUAGCUGGGGAGAAAUAGGUUGUGACUGACAAAGUCAACCACCUAGUCCACCUGCUAAAAAAAAAAAAAAAAAAAAAAAAAAAAA